GAUGAACGCUGGCGGCGUGCCUAAUACAUGCAAGUCGAACGAACAGAUGAGGAGCUUGCUCCUCUGACGUUAGCGGCGGACGGGUGAGUAACACGUGGAUAACCUACCUAUAAGACUGGGAUAACUUCGGGAAACCGGAGCUAAUACCGGAUAAUAUAUUGAACCGCAUGGUUCAAUAGUGAAAGACGGUUUUGCUGUCACUUAUAGAUGGAUCCGCGCCGCAUUAGCUAGUUGGUAAGGUAACGGCUUACCAAGGCAACGAUGCGUAGCCGACCUGAGAGGGUGAUCGGCCACACUGGGACUGAGACACGGUCCAGACUCCUACGGGAGGCAGCAGUAGGGAAUCUUCCGCAAUGGGCGAAAGCCUGACGGAGCAACGCCGCGUGAGUGAUGAAGGUCUUCGGAUCGUAAAACUCUGUUAUUAGGGAAGAACAAAUGUGUAAGUAACUAUGCACGUCUUGACGGUACCUAAUCAGAAAGCCACGGCUAACUACGUG
rnacentral:rRNA from 1 species